UCGGCUUUCUUUCUGCCCUCACUUCCUCCACCCACCGCCACCGCCACCGCCGGCGUCCUCCGGCACCGAGGCCGAUUCCUCCUAGGGUUAGGGUUAGGGCUUGGGCUCCGAUUUUGGGGCUUCAAGAUGUCGAUGCUGCGACGGAGGAAGCCCUCCGAGGCCGAGAAGAAGCCUCCGCCACCGUCGCAGGCCGACGACUCCUCCUCAUCUGGUGCCGCCGCUGCCCCCACGGAGAAAGAGAAAGAGAAGGAUGCGGCGAAGGCGGCGGCGGGGGGGAGGGAGAGGAAGGUGCGGUGGUCGUGCAUCGACAACUGCUGCUGGCUGAUCGGGUGCAUCUGCUCGGUGUGGUGGUUCCUGCUGUUCCUCUAUAACGCGAUGCCUGCGUCGUUCCCUCAGUACGUGACGGAGGCGAUCACCGGGCCAUUGCCGGACCCACCGGGGGUCAAGCUCGCCAAGGAGGGGCUCACCGCGCGCCAUCCGGUGGUCUUCGUCCCCGGGAUUGUCACUGGCGGGCUUGAGCUCUGGGAGGGUCACCAGUGCGCCGAUGGGCUUUUCCGCAAACGCCUCUGGGGCGGAACGUUCGGAGAAGUCUACAAGAGACCUUUAUGCUGGGUUGAACAUAUGUCACUUGACAAUGAAACUGGGUUGGAUCCUCAAGGUAUAAGAGUUAGGCCAGUUACAGGACUUGUGGCUGCAGAUUAUUUUGCUCCAGGUUAUUUUGUUUGGGCAGUCUUGAUUGCUAAUUUGGCCCGCAUUGGAUAUGAAGAGAAGACUAUGUAUAUGGCAGCAUAUGAUUGGAGGCUCUCUUUUCAGAACACUGAGGUACGUGAUCAGACAUUAAGCAGAAUAAAAGUUAACAUAGAACUUAUGGUAUCUACAAAUGGUGGGAAGAAGGUGGUAGUUAUUCCACAUUCCAUGGGAGUUUUGUAUUUUCUGCAUUUUAUGAAGUGGGUCGAGGCACCUGCUCCAAUGGGUGGUGGUGGUGGUCCAAACUGGUGUGCCAGACAUAUAAAAGCAGUGAUGAAUAUUGGAGGACCAUUCUUAGGUGUUCCAAAAGCAGUUACAGGACUGUUCUCAGCUGAAGCCAAAGAUGUUGCUGUUGCAAGGGCCAUUGCACCUGGUGUGUUAGAUUCUGACUUACUUGGGCUUCAGACCUUGCGACAUGUUAUGCGUAUGACUCGUACAUGGGACUCAACUAUGUCAAUGAUUCCAAAAGGUGGCGGUACAAUUUGGGGUGGUCUAGAUUGGUCACCAGAAGACGGCUAUGUCUGUAACACUAAGAAGCAGAAGAAUAAUGAUUCUCAUGUCUCUCAGGAUGUUAAUGCACAGUCUGAUUAUCAAUUGCAUAGUGUCAACUAUGGCAGAAUCAUAUCUUUCGGCAAGGAGGUAUCGGAGAAACCUUCGUCCAAGAUUGAGCAGAUAGAUUUCAGGGAUGCUGUUAAGGGCAACAACGUCGCUCAUUCAAAUGCAUCUUGUCGUGAAAUUUGGACUGAGUACCAUGAAUUGGGGUGGGGAGGAAUCAAGGCAGUUACUGAUUACAAAGUGUAUACAGCUAGUUCUAUUUUGGAUCUUCUUCACUUUGUUGCUCCUAAGAUGAUGCAGCGUGGAAGUGCUCAUUUUUCAUAUGGGAUUGCUGAUAAUCUGGAUGACCCAGCAUAUGAGCACUACAAAUAUUGGUCGAACCCAUUGGAAACAAAAUUACCAAAUGCUCCUGAUAUGGAGAUAUAUUCCAUGUAUGGAGUAGGAAUCCCCACUGAAAGAGCUUAUGUUUACAAAUUAGCCCCCUCAGCUGAGUGCAACAUCCCUUUCCAGAUUGAUACUUCAGCUGAGGGUGGACAAGACGGGAGCUGUUUGAAAGGUGGUGUAUACUUAGUCAAUGGAGAUGAGACUGUGCCAGUUCUAAGUGCAGGCUACAUGUGUGCAAAAGGAUGGCGUGGGAAAACGCGGUUCAAUCCUUCUGGUAUCAAGACUUAUAUCAGGGAGUAUGAUCAUGCCCCUCCUGCUAAUCUCUUGGAAGGCCGGGGUACCCAGAGUGGUGCACAUGUUGAUAUCAUGGGCAACUUUGCUUUGAUUGAGGAUAUUAUCAGAGUGGCAGCAGGUGCAACUGGAGAGGACUUGGGUGGUGAUCAAGUUUAUUCAGAUAUAUUUAAAUGGUCAGAAAAGGUCAAGUUACGACUCUGAAUUCAGCUGAUAUAUUUAAAUGGUCAGACAAGAUCAAGUUAUGCCUCUGAAUUCAGCUGAGGAUUUGAAGUUGUAACUUCCCUGUAACUGAGAAGCAAAGAACUGAAACCAAUAGUUCUCUGUGCCACUUGCUGGUAUUAUUAUGUGCUAGCAGAUCGACUUGUGCAUAGUUUAUCUCUUACCUAAAGGAUCAUGUUUCUAAGAAUUUUGUUCUGAUUUUGCAUUCUGUCUCUAUUUAUUCUAUUUUUUUUUAAAUGAUACACAUGAGAACAGCUAAAUUGUACUGCACAAAGCAGAACUGCUUGUAGACCAUGUGACAAAAAGAUAUGACAUAAAAAAUGCUGAGCAGGAAAUAUAAUACAAUAUAUUGGUUGAUUCUA